AAUUAAGGUAGAGGCUGCGGUUCUUAAGAGUAUUCAUAAUGAGGUAAGCGCAAUGAAGUAUGAAGAAAGGAAUAACCGCCGAAGGCUAUAACUGAAGCUUUAAGGUUAUAGACCUGGGGGUGUAUAGAAGAUAUGCAUCACUGUCACAAAUGCAAAUUUGUGUUGAGCUACAUUUAAG
rfam:Turicibacter sp. H121, complete genome.